rnacentral:lncRNA from 12 species
CUUUAUCCUAGAGUUAAUAGAAAUAAGUUGGAGUACUCCUAUACUUUGCCAUUUAAAACUUGAAGCAACUGAAAAAGGCUGAGGCCCUUGUGACCUUCUUCUGUCACCUAGACUUUGAUUCCCUUCCUGGCUCAGGGAUUUUCAUCUGUACCCACGGUGAACUGGAUCUUUGACAUGAAGUGUCUUCAAGCAACAUUUCUAAGCAGAGUGGGCAGUGAAGUUCAGAUACUAAUAUGAUGAAUGGAUAAAGGCAGACCGAAGGAAAGCAUCAAAAAUUAGAAUAAAAGAAAAUAAAG